AAUAAGACAGGAUGAGAGGAGGAUACGGCUAAAGACAGAGGCUCCAGCUACCUUGGUGACAAGGAAUGGAGGAGAAAAUGAACAGGAAAUUUUAAUAAGAUUACGAGGGCUUGCUUUUCUGCCAAGUGAGUCACAGAUUUAGCGUGAUGUUGAGCCCCGCAGCCUGAUAACAGAGAGUAUAAUGACGAUUAUUGCGUCAAUAAAUUUUUUUUUUGAGAUGGAGACUCACUCUGUCACCCAGGCUGCAGUGCAGUGGUGUGAUCUCAGCUCACUGCAAUCUCUGCCUCCCAGGUUCUAGUGAGUCUCCUGCCUCAGCCUCCCAAGUAGCUGGGACUACAGCCGCUUUCACAGGAGCGAUAAAUUGGAAAUGUUAUCUGGCUUGAUAUGCCAGUUUUUCUGAGAAAAUCACUCUGCCAGUGGUGAGAGAACGGAAGAGCUGAAAACAUCUUCUUUUUUCAAAGUCAUAUGUCACAAACCAAGGAGACUCCAAAAAAUAAAUUAUGGAAGAUUAUGACCACUGCUGCCAAGGAUACAGUGAAAUAGGUACAUCUUGUAUGCCCAGUAAUGUUGAAAAUUAAUAUAACCUUAUUUAAAAAGCAAUUUGGAGAUGUUGAAAGAAAGCCUGAAGACUACCACCAUGCUUCAUGAUUCUAUCCAGGUGUCCCACAUAUGAGAGCCAAUUCC
rnacentral:lncRNA from 1 species